UACGAAGGGGGCUAGCGUUGCUCGGAAUCACUGGGCGUAAAGCGCACGUAGGCGGCUUUUUAAGUCAGGGGUGAAAUCCUGGAGCUCAACUCCAGAACUGCCUUUGAUACUGGGAAGCUCGAGUCCGGAAGAGGUGAGUGGAACUCCGAGUGUAGAGGUGAAAUUCGUAGAUAUUCGGAAGAACACCAGUGGCGAAGGCGGCUCACUGGUCCGGUACUGACGCUGAGGUGCGAAAGCGUGGGGAGCAAACAGG
rnacentral:rRNA from 1 species